GAGGGGCAGAAUCCAGACAUGUUCUUGAAGUCCUUAAAUUUCUCCCAACAUUUUAUUGACAUUUCUGGGAACCAUAUCAUUAUACUGGUGCAAUCUGGAAACUGCACAGCCUCAGACCUGCGUUCUCUGGUCUCUUCUUCUCAGAUUCACAAUUUAGAGGUCUCUCCAACCGCACAGAAGUGAAAACAAAAUGAACAGUACACUACUUUGUAAGAGGACUUCAGAGAAGACUCUGCCUCGGAUGAGCUUUAAGACUAUGAGUCAUAGCAAUAAAGGGUAUCUGGUCAUCUUGACUGUGUACAUCGAAAGUUACUUGAAUUCAAACAGAAAUAUCUAACCUGGUGCAGACAGAUGACUAGAGUGUGGAUCUGGAAGAAUCGUAAUAUAAGAUCACAUGGCAACUUCCCUCACCCAAAAUUCAAGAAAAAGAGUUAUGCUCAAAAGCACAAGAUUCUUCUGACUCAUUAUCAGGUUCCAGGAGGAUUGCAGGGUGCUCCACCCAGACUCAUAGUAGUUGCAGUUCAAGCCUCUACCUGUAGCCCAUCCGGAUACACACAAGGCUGUCAGAGCAUCAUGGCAGAGCAACUUCCCUACCAGCAUCAAAAAUGACAGCAUUGGACUUCCCUGAUUGUCCACUGGCUAAAGCUUCAUGCUCCAAUGGGAA